GGCGGCGUGCCUAACACAUAGCAAGUCGAACGGGACGUUAUUGAGACGAUUUCGGUCUGAUCAGUUAAGUUAGUGGCGGACGGGUGAGUAACGCGUGGACAACCUGCCUUCACAGGGGGAUAGCAGCUGGAAACGGCUGGUAAUACCGCAUACGCUCAUAUCACCGCAUGGUGAUAUGAGGAAAGAUUUAUCGGUGAAAGAUGGAUCCGCGUCUGAUUAGCCAGUUGGCGGGGUAACGGCCCACCAAAGCGACGAUCAGUAGCCGGCCUGAGAGGGCGGACGGCCACAUUGGGACUGAGACACGGCCCAGACUCCUACGGGAGGCAGCAGUGGGGGAUAUUGCACAAUGGGCGCAAGCCUGAUGCAGCGACGCCCGCGUGAGUGAAGAAGUAUUUCGGUAUGUAAAGCUCUAUCAGCAGGGAAGAAAGGCCCCUUUGGGGAGAUGACGGUACCUGACUAAGAAGCCCCGGCUAACUACGUGCCAGCCGCCGC
rnacentral:rRNA from 1 species